GUGGGGAAUAUUGCACAAUGGGGGAAACCCUGAUGCAGCGACGCCGCGUGAGCGAAGAAGUAUUUCGGUAUGUAAAGCUCUAUCAGCAGGGAAGAAAAUGACGGUACCUGACUAAGAAGCUCCGGCUAAAUACGUGCCAGCAGCCGCGGUAAUACGUAUGGAGCAAGCGUUAUCCGGAUUUACUGGGUGUAAAGGGAGCGUAGGCGGUAAGGCAAGUCUGAUGUGAAAGGCCAGGGCUCAACCCUGGGACUGCAUUGGAAACUGUUUAACUGGAGUGUCGGAGAGGCAAGUGGAAUUCCUAGUGUAGCGGUGAAAUGCGUAGAUAUUAGGAGGAACACCAGUGGCGAAGGCGGCUUGCUGGACGAUGACUGACGCUGAGGCUCGAAAGCGUGGGGAGCAAACAGG
rnacentral:rRNA from 1 species